CGACCGGCGCACGGGUGAGUAACACGUAUGCAACCUGGCCGUCACAGGUGGAUAACCGGAAGAAACUCCGACUAAUACAGCAUAACACUCCUGAGGGACAUCCUUCGGGAGUCAAAGGAGGCAACUCCGGUGACGGAUGGGCAUGCGGCGCAUUAGGUAGUUGGUAGGGUAACGGCCUACCAAGCCGACGAUGCGUAGGGGUUCUGAGAGGAAGGUCCCCCACAUUGGAACUGAGACACGGUCCAAACUCCUACGGAAGGCAGCAG
rnacentral:rRNA from 1 species